GGAGGGAAAGGCCUGUGUUAAGCGUGGUUAAGAAGUGAUGGAGACAGAUUGAUUAUUCAAAACGCCAAGCCACGGGGAUACUUAAAACGUUGAUUCAGGUGCCAGUGAAGAAGGUGAGCUGCUGGAGGCAUCUGAUCUCCAUCCCCACACCCAGUGGAGAACAGAGAGCUGAUGGCGGUCACCGAGGGGAGCCUGAGAACGGAGCCAGCACAGCAGACACCACAGCACAGAUGGAAAAGUGGUCCUGCUUGUGAUGCUCAAGCCCUAAAUCCAGCCACACCUGAAGCCAGUUCCAGCCCUGCAGCUCUUUGUGAGCUGACAAGUUGACUUCGCUUUGGCUUUGCUGGCACUUGCCACAGGAGGAGGCCUGUGACACUUAGCACCUGACAAAGCAAGGAACGCCUGGGCCAGGGACCAGAGAGCUCAGAAACAAGGUGGCGGAAAGCUCAAGUAAGGCUCCUGGGGCUCUUCCCAGCAAAAGAGCAGCCAGAGAACUUGCCAGAAUUCUCUUCAAGCUACAGUGCGAUUUCUAAGCGCGUGCUCUGCCCCCACCUUCGACAGUUCCCUGUGGCCUUCAGAAGAAAAGAGCUUCCUGACCCCACCCCCGGCACAAGACCACCUGGGCUCAUGUUCCGGCA